rnacentral:rRNA from 1 species
GAUGAACGCUGGCGGCGUGCCUAACACAUGCAAGUCGAGCGAUUCUCUUCGGAGAAGAGCGGCGGACGGGUGAGUAACGCGUGGGUAACCUGCCCUGUACACACGGAUAACAUACCGAAAGGUAUGCUAAUACGAGAUAAUAUGCUUUUAUCGCAUGGUAGAAGUAUCAAAGCUUUUGCGGUACAGGAUGGACCCGCGUCUGAUUAGCUAGUUGGUAAGGUAACGGCUUACCAAGGCGACGAUCGGUAGCCGACCUGAGAGGGUGAGCGGCCGCAUUGGAACUGAGACACGAUGCAAACUCCUGCGGGAGGCAGCAGUGGGGAAUAUUGCACAAUGGGCGAAAGCCUGAUGCAGCAACGCCGCGUGAGUGAUGAAGGCCUUCGGGUCGUAAAGCUCGGUCCUCAAGGAAGAUAAUGACGGUACUUGAGGAGGAAGCCCCGGCUAACUACGUGCCAGCCGCCGCAGUAA